AGCGCCUUCCGGUGCCGCGGCCCCCAUGGACGCCAACCUGCGGCUCUGGAGGGCGGAGGGCCCGUCUUUUUGGCAGAGGCUUCUUCUCUGGGCGGACGUCUUAGAUCCCCUGCACCUCCUGAAGUCCGCGGAUGAAAUAAGAAAAGCCCGGUUAUUAUUAGAAAGCAGUGAAAAGACCCAAAGUGAGCCCAUACAGAAUCAUCAGACAAAACAAGCCCUCCUGCUCAGCCUGGCCAGUGUACAUCCUGACACAGGCAGGAUAAUUCCUGUUUUCUUCAGACCUCCAGCUUUCCUGCCUGUAACUCUUCCAUUGGUCAUUUCUUCGUCGCUUCAGCUGCAGGCAAAACAAAUUUUCCUUUGUCAGUUUGCAUUUCAUGCAUACACCACAGGAUUCACCCUAUUAAAUGGAAACUGUACCACUAAGGAUGAAGAGAACUCGCUUCACCAAAAGCAAAUCCUGUUUGGCGUGGGAGCCGUUUCCUAUGCAGCACUUCUAGGUGCUUUUCCUUUUGUCUUUAUGGACCGGUACACGUUGAAGAGUCCAAUAACACAUCUAAUUGUCAAAAAGCUUCUACCUGCUCCUCUUUUUGGCUUGAUGAGUGCUUUUACUGUGGUAGCGGUGAGGAGCCCAGAAUUUGAGAAUGGAAUUGAAGUGAUGGACAGGAGUGGCAAGGUUUUAGGAGUGUCACAGAAGGCUGGUGAGAAGGCCGUUAAAGAAACAGCAUUAUCAAGAGGAAUCUUGUUUGGGACAACAUUCUUCCUGCCAGCUGCACUUAUGUACUUUGUGGAAAGAGCGAACACUGCAAGAACUCCACGUGCUUUGGCUUCAGUGAGGAUGCUUCUGAUUAUGGCAGUAUUGGCAGGGAUGUUACCAGCUUCAUUUGGCAUGUUCCCACAGUGUGGUGAGAUAAAACGAGAAGAACUCGAAGCAGAAAUUCUGUCGUCUACAGAAGAAACAGUAUUAUUCUACAAUAGAGGAAUUUAGAGAUUGGCUUUAGUAUCUGAAUAUGGGCUCUGCUUAAAGUGAAUUCUGAUGUCAGCUGAAUUUGUUGAGAGACUCAAUGACUCAACAAAUGAUCAACGUGUGGUGGCACACAAACCAGAAGCGGUGUAUGACGCUGUGGUGUAUAAACAGGCAGACUUUGCAAAAUGCUUUUGCAAACCCUACCCCACAGAGAGAAUUCUCUGGAAGAUAAAGGCAAGCACCUGACAUCUAGAUUGGCAGCCUGGGUGAUUCAGCUGUUUCCCAAAUCAAGGUAGGGAAAGUACAUUGCUGACAAGGCCCUGGCUUCCUUGAUCUUGAAAUGAAGACACGAUGAGACUGGAAAUAGAACCAGCUGGAUCAGACACCUGAUAGUCCAAAGGGGUAUGCAAGGGGACCACGAUGGGACAAGCAGCAGUGCCUUAUGUUUGAGGGACUGAAGAACAGAGGCAAUGCCCACAGGAGGACCUUUGCUUUUGUAACUUGGAAUAGAUGAACAGCACACCAGCACAGGACAAGUCUGCCUCCUACUUUCAGCACUGUCUACUGUCUUAAGUGGCAACAUAUUAGUAGUGGAACCGGUUUAAGGUGUGGUAAAGUACAAUAGAUAGAAGCCUUCAGCUUCUAGGAAAACCUGAGUCUCGGUGCAAUAUGGUGACAGUUCCCCACCUACCCAGCUUGUCAUCCUGAAAUUCAGGAAUAUAUAAUGAGGCUUCAGUGUCAUUUUAAAGUAGCUUCAAAUAAAUAAUAAGUGAGCCACUCCUACGUUUGGAAAUACUGAGAUCAAAGCAUUUCCUCUGUUGGAGCUGGUGUCCCUGUGGUUAUCCUACAAGCCUGUAACGUUGCCAUACUGCUUUUCCCUGCAGGCUGCAGUGGAGGAAGGAAAGAAGUAGGUGAGGAGAGAAUCCUGUGCUGCCUAUAGCUGCUUCCCUACCAGCAACACCACGUGCUGUGCAGUGCAGCUCAGAAAAGCACUGUGGUCCCAUCUUUGGAGCCUCCCCAGAGAUUUUAAAGACAUCUUCAGCCGCUCCUCUCGAGGUUACUCACCAUUACACUGCUCUUAUUCAGAACAUUCCCCCCCAGUAUUUGCCUGCAGAAGAAACAGGGAAACCGGUUUAUCCCAGGAACCAAAACCAUAAGGAUGACAGCAUUAGAAAUGACACACAUUUUGCCUUGAAGGACUAACUUAAUUAGCAAAACUGCAACCAGAAGGAUUGGUUGCUAAUCCUGCUCUCCUUUAUAAGCUUUUGGCUUUGUUCACCAUCUACCUUUGUUUCUGCAAGCACAGUGAAGAUCUGGUGAGAUUUUAGAGUACAGAAACCACAAGGGCAAUGGGUAAGGCAGGGAGUACCUGUCUUCCCCCUCACCUGAGGAAGGAACUGUACUGCAAUUUUCAAGAGUCAGAAAGCCUCACUUUCAGCCAAGCGCUGCCUUUGGGAGGAGCAUCUCUCAGCAUGUUAACAGGAACUGUCAGCCAUCGUUCCACACUGAUCCAAGAACAGAAAGGCAGUAAGAUGAGAAGGUCUGAAUGAAAAUCUCAUUUUGCACAGUCUUUGCUUCUAGGAGGAGGAAGUAAAACUGUCAUCUGACUGUUCCCAACCGACACCAGCACACCCAAAGUGUCAGCUGGUGUGCAUCCUCGGGAGAGGGAAGUGCAGAAUAACGCAAAACUUCUCCCUGAGCUUCCAGGCUGAUGCUUUAUUCUAACAUGCACCUGGGAGGAAACAAUUAUGAAGCACAUCUAAGCAGAUUAGGACUAUUCUCUCAAAGUGCUGAAGCUGAGGGAGGCCAAUAUUAUUAUUAUUAUUAUUAUUAUUUAACCAAGACAAUCAACAGAAGAUGAUAAAACUCUUUGAACCUGUAGCAGCAGUGCAUUUUCCACCCAAGCAGAAGCCUCAUUUCCAACCCCAGCAUUGCACAACCAAGAGCUACAGCUUGUGACUACUCAGGAAUAAAUUCACGUAAAUUAAAGGCUAGGCUGGUCAGGAUUUUUGCUUUUAAUAGACAUAAGCAUGCUAUGAGUCCAGUUCUUUAAGUGCAAAAAUUAUAGUUCAUUUGUGUCACACAAAUGUUAGAAUACAAGAUCUAAAACUGAGGUCGUCUCACUUUUAAAAGAAAGCAAAAAAAAAAAAAGCAUUAAACAUUGACUUUGUGUCUGAGCUUCUGGGCUUUUUGUGGCUGUCCAUAACCCCACACCACCUUAAUGAGGACACCUCCAGAGCUUUCUGUUAGAAAGAAACUGAAUUUCUCUGCAGUUACAGCGUGCCAUUAUGGUAUCUGACAAAAGUUCAGGUUUUUCUCAGCAGACUUUAAAGCAGAUCCUGAGAGUUUUCAGUGUGAUUUUGCAGUUGUGCUGCUCUAACUGUUAUAGAAGCCCUGGAAUAGAAAGAGCAGUACUGAAGAGCCAUUACAAUGAGAAAAAUAAACAAAACCAAACCCACCACAGCACCUUCAUGGCCAAAUGGGGAAAAAGCUGCAGAGCACUUAGAGGUAAAUGAAGGCAACUUGGUCUCAGAUAAAACAAAAGACACCGCUCUCCUGGGUGCAGAAUUUAAACCACAGAGUAAGUAAAGUAAAAUUUUAUACCCCUGAAAAUAGGGGAUUAUUCUGAAGCACUUCCAUUUACUGACUGUAGUAGCUAGCCACUUUAUACGUAGAUGCCACAUUCCUUACCCACACUAAAACAGAAAUUCAUUCUUCUUAACGUAGUAUGAUACGUAGCAAAAGGACAACCCUUUUCCAAACCAAUAUUGCUUGCACAGUUAGCGAUGACCUCUAACGAUUUCAAAACAGCAAACAUCCAAUUAUUUAACCACAUAAAUAUCGAUUGCUAAAGUUUUAAUCAGAAGUAUAAAAUCUCUAGGUAAAACCACAUGCUACAGCCCAUCUGUACAAAGGCCA